rnacentral:lncRNA from 1 species
GGGUUUAUUUUUAGCCCAUUACUGUGAUACUGAAACAAUAAAGUUUUCUAAAUGAAAGAGUUGGAAACGUUUUUUUGUAUUUUUUUUUUAAUCUAGUAAUGUAGCUCCCUUGCCUGUAUCUCUUUGUCACAGUGCUGUCAAAAUGAGUCAGUCAAACACCUAAUUUUUGGUGUGAUCAGUACUCAAAUUCUCUGCAUUGGGCUAGAGCCCAAUCCUGCCUCAUGCUGAGCAUCUCUUUCAAGGCACAGAGGACCCUUUCCUCUCUGGCUCAGUGGGAAUGGAAUUCACUCAGCGCUUAGCAAGACGAGGUCCCUAGUUUUUCUGCAACCACACAAGUUUCCUUCCUGUUGUGCACCUGAUAUGUGACUGACUCAAACUGACAUGCAACUUCCACUAUAUUAAAAAAGAGUGAAGAAACUCUUAGGAAGACAGCUUCUCAGACAGCAGAUAGAAAACUGGGCAGAACAGAGCUUUAAACUCCUCUGAUACAGUAAAUCACUGUUUGCAAAACACCUAAUUUUAAGAGGAUAAUUAAAAGAGAAACCUGUAAAGGCAACAUUCCUUCAAGCGAGUUGGUGCUGCAACGUGCUGGGCCUGAUCCUGAAAUCCAAUUACAACACUGGACCUCAGUUGCUAACACUGCAGUUAUUCAGCUGAAAGAAUGACUUGAAUGGUUUUCUAAAAAAUAAAAUGAGGUCUGCGGAUUUAAAGAUCUAAAGGCGUUAGCCAAAUUGAACAGGUAAGAAUCAAAUUUUAUCUAGGAUUUAAGAUUCACUGUUUUCAUAAGUCAUCUCUUUUUCUACUUUUUA